rnacentral:rRNA from 1 species
AUUGAACGCUGGCGGCAGGCCUAACACAUGCAAGUCGAACGAGUGGCGGACGGGGGAGUAAUGUCUGGGAAACUGCCCGAUGGGGGGGGGUAACAACUGGAAACGGUAGCUAUUACCGCAUAUGAUAGGAGAUGCCCCGAUGGGAUUAGCUAGUAGGUGGGGUAACGGCUCACCUAGGCGACGGUCCCUAGCUGGUCUGAGAGGAUGACCAGCCACACUGGAACUGAGACACGGUCCAGACUCCGACGGGAGGCAGCAGUGGGGAAUAUUGCACAAUGGGCGCAAGCCUGAUGCAGCCAUGCCGCGUGUAUGAAGAAGGCCUUCGGGUUGUAAAGUACUUUCAGCGAGGAGGCGUUACUCGCAGAAGAAGCACCGGCUAACUCCGUGCCAGCAGCCGCGGUAAUUC